rnacentral:rRNA from 1 species
GACGAACGCUGGCGGCGUGCUUAACACAUGCAAGUCGAACGGAAAGGCCCUUUCGGGGUGCUCGAGUGGCGAACGGGUGAGUAACACGUGGGUGAUCUGCCCUGAACUUUGGGAUAAGCCUGGGAAACUGGGUCUAAUACCGGAUAUGACCAGUGGGUGCAUGCUUGCUGGUGGAAAGCCUUGUGCGGUUUGGGAUGGGGCCCGCGGCCUAUCAGCUUGUUGGUGGGUAAUGGCCUACCAAGGCGACGACGGGUAGCCGACCUGAGAGGGUGAUCGGCCACACUGGGACUGAGACACGGCCCAGACUCCUACGGGAGGCAGCAGUGGGGAAUAUUGCACAAUGGGCGCAAGCCUGAUGCAGCGACGCCGCGUGAGGGAUGACGGCCU